GACGAACGCUGGCGGCGUGCUUAACACAUGCAAGUCGAACGAUGAAGCUAGAGCUUGCUCUGGUGGAUUAGUGGCGAACGGGUGAGUAACACGUGAGUAACCUGCCCCGAACUCUGGGAUAACUGCUGGAAACGGUAGCUAAUACUGGAUACGACCUACGAAGGCAUCUUCUGUAGGUGGAAAGAAUUUCGGUUCGGGAUGGACUCGCGGCCUAUCAGCUUGUUGGUGAGGUAAUGGCUCACCAAGGCUACGAUCAUUAGCUGGUCUGAGAGGAUGAUCAGCCAGACUGGGACUGAGACACGGCCCAGACUCCUACGGGAGGCAGCAGUAGGGAAUUUUCCACAAUGGGCGAAAGCCUGAUGGAGCAACGCCGCGUGCAGGAUGAAUGCCUUCGGGUUGUAAACUGCUUUUAUAUGUGACGAAUAUGACGGUAGCAUAUGAAUAAGGAUCGGCUAACUCCGUGCCAGCCGCCGCGGUAA
rnacentral:rRNA from 1 species